GAAUAGCUGGAUGUUGGAAUGCCUGGCCUGGGGCUCAGCAAGCUGUGGAGCUACUGUUUUGCCAACAAUGCUGUCCCUGAUUGUGAGGCUCCUCACCCCUGCUGUGGCCUGCAUCCCUCUCUGGCACCGCUACCCCUCUGGUUGGACAUCCCUGAGGCCAAUGCCUGCACCUCCAGGAGAGUCAGAGGCCAGAACACAGCCAGGGGCGGCUAGAAAGAGAUGACAGAUGAAAGAGACAGAGCCUGGCACAGAGGCAUGAAGAGGUUUGUCAUAUUAUCCUUGUGGAAACAAUGAAGAAAUGUGGGCUGCGUGAUGGACCUACUUGGAGGAUUCCUAACUGGUGACUCACUGUACCCAAUGAGGCUGGAACGAUGACCCUAUAUGAACGAAUGACAUUUGGAGGAAGGCGGAUGCGGAGUCCUGCAGGCAAGUUGAAAAGAUUAGAAGCACAAAUAUGGGGCUGAAAGCCCUGGUUUAAGAAUGAAACCCUUGAAAAAGACCAAGUUUAUUUGACAGCUAAUUCAUUGUGAAUCAAUUGUGUGGCACAGCCAGAAGUCUGAUGACUCCCAGGCUCCCGAGCUGCCUUAGUAGACGCAGAAAGCUUGGAAUACGGAAGGUCAACGGUCCCACUAGGUUCCGUAUUUUGCUGCGUUCAGGGCUGAGAACCCUUCUUAAGAGUAAUGUCCAGGGGAGGGCCACCCCCAUGGUAAAGGAUCUAAACACUAAGUCCUAUGAGUAGAGUGACCAUAAAAUUUAUUACCUAAACUGGGACACAUCUGAGAGUGACAGAAAGUGUUAUUAACAACUGCAAUGUAUAAUAGUUCUACCUUUGAGGCAUCAUUGGAAGAACCAGGACUUUUUAUACUGGAGAAGAAAAGAAUUCAAAUAACCAAAUGGUUGUCAUAUGAGAAGGAGAAUAGGUUUCUAUGGCCUAUUAUUUUUCAAAAUGAUUGUUUAAAAAGGAACACCUGCUCAACGAAAAAACUUCAAAUGAUUGUCAACUCUCUUCUGUCAAAUGGGGCUGAUACUAGUAUCCACCUCAAAUUGUUAUGAGGAUUAAAUGAAUGUAAGGUAGUUAGAACAGUGCAUGGCAGAAGAAUUUAUAAGAUAAAAAUAAAAAAUAAAACUGUUUAAAAGAAAAAAGUCCUUCCAUCCUUGUGUGCCUCAAAG
rnacentral:lncRNA from 1 species